AUUCUGGCUCAGGAUGAACGCUGGCGGCGUGCUUAACACAUGCAAGUCGAACGGGAUCCAUCAGGCUUUGCUUGGUGGUGAGAGUGGCGAACGGGUGAGUAAUGCGUGACCGACCUGCCCCAUACACCGGAAUAGCUCCUGGAAACGGGUGGUAAUGCCGGAUGCUCCAGUUGACCGCAUGGUCCUCUGGGAAAGCUUUUGCGGUAUGGGAUGGGGUCGCGUCCUAUCAGCUUGAUGGCGGGGUAACGGCCCACCAUGGCUUCGACGGGUAGCCGGCCUGAGAGGGCGACCGGCCACAUUGGGACUGAGAUACGGCCCAGACUCCUACGGGAGGCAGCAGUGGGGAAUAUUGCACAAUGGGCGCAAGCCUGAUGCAGCGACGCCGCGUGAGGGAUGGAGGCCUUCGGGUUGUAAACCUCUUUUAUCGGGGAGCAAGCGAGAGUGAGUUUACCCGUUGAAUAAGCACCGGCUAACUACGUGCCAGCAGCCGCGGUAAUACGUAGGGUGCAAGCGUUAUCCGGAAUUAUUGGGCGUAAAGGGCUCGUAGGCGGUUCGUCGCGUCCGGUGUGAAAGUCCAUCGCUUAACGGUGGAUCUGCGCCGGGUACGGGCGGGCUGGAGUGCGGUAGGGGAGACUGGAAUUCCCGGUGUAACGGUGGAAUGUGUAGAUAUCGGGAAGAACACCGAUGGCGAAGGCAGGUCUCUGGGCCGUCACUGACGCUGAGGAGCGAAAGCGUGGGGAGCGAACAGGAUUAGAUACCCUGGUAGUCCACGCCGUAAACGGUGGGUACUAGGUGUGGGUUUCCUUCCUUGGGAUCCGUGCCGUAGCUAACGCAUUAAGUACCCCGCCUGGGGAGUACGGCCGCAAGGCUAAAACUCAAAGGAAUUGACGGGGGCCCGCACAAGCGGCGGAGCAUGCGGAUUAAUUCGAUGCAACGCGAAGAACCUUACCUGGGCUUGACAUGUUCCCGACAGCCGUAGAGAUACGGUCUCCCUUCGGGGCGGGUUCACAGGUGGUGCAUGGUCGUCGUCAGCUCGUGUCGUGAGAUGUUGGGUUAAGUCCCGCAACGAGCGCAACCC
rnacentral:rRNA from 1 species